UACGAAGGGUGCUAGCGUUGUUCGGAAUAACUGGGCGUAAAGAGCUCGUAGGCGGAUUUGCAAGUCAGGGGUGAAAUCCCGGGGCUUAACCUCGGAACUGCCUUUGAAACUGCAAAUCUGGAAUCUCAGAGGGGAUAGCGGAAUUCCUAAUGUAGGGGUGAAAUCCGUAGAUAUUAGGAGGAACACCGGUGGCGAAGGCGGCUAUCUGGAUGAGUAUUGACGCUGAGGAGCGAAAGCGUGGGGAUCAAACAGG
rnacentral:rRNA from 1 species